GGGGAAGCCAUAGUUAGGGUUUUCAAGCUUCCAAGCUCCAUAAUCAAGAAGUACGAAACUCGAGGUUAGACAAAGGGAAGAAUAAAGUUGAAGACUAAGUUGGUGAAUUUGGCUAUAAUUGGUACCGAGUAUUGCAAAGCUACUUCAAGGAUCCUAAAGAAGUCGGAGAUCGUCCACACUAUCAACUACAAUCGCUCGGUAUUUUAUAUUGAAACACGUUUGAGUUAUGGCAUGUAUAGGGAUUUAGUUAUUUUGUAUGUUUGUAAUGAUGAUUUUGCUAAUGAGUGAUGUGUAAGUAUUUGAUGAUGUAUGGUCAUUAAAAUGGUUAAGGAUGAAGGUGUUUGUUGUUAUGAAAGAUUAGGUGAUAAAUUAUGCAUGGAAAUCAUGAAAGGAUAAAAUUUUGCAAAGAAACAGAAUUCAGGCAGCACAGUGACGUGAAUUUGAAAAAUCACCCAAGAUAGUAUAAAAUGAAUUAGAGGGUGAAUGAUAUAUGGAAUUAAAGCUUGUUGAGUCUAUUUUCAUAGAAAAAUAACGGUGUAGCAAAAGGAAAUUUAUAUUUUAAGAUAUGUGAAUUUUAGUAAGAUAGGGUCAGAACUGUUUUUGGAGUCCCCUGUUCUGAGUUUAGAAAAUAAUUACAAAUUGUACAAAAAUGGUUAUGAGUUGAAAUUUACAUGCUUAGAUUCCUUAAUGAGUCUAUUUUCUGUAGAAACAAGUAAGAACUUCAUAUGAAAAUCCUACAGUGAGAAAACUUAUUUUUAGUAACAAGA